AGGACGAACGCUGGCGGCGUGCUUAACACAUGCAAGUCGAACGGAAAGGCCCUUCGGGGUACUCGAGUGGCGAACGGGUGAGUAACACGUGGGCAACCUGCCCUUAGCUCUGGGAUAACACUUGGAAACAGGUGCUAAUACCGGAUAACGACUCGACAAGGCAUCUUGACGAGUCCAAAGUUUUUCGGCUAGGAUGGGCCCGCGGCCUAUCAGCUUGUUGGUGGGGUAACGGCCCACCAAGGCAACGACGGGUA
rnacentral:rRNA from 1 species